rnacentral:misc_RNA from 1 species
CGAACCUAACAACACCACCUACAAAUAAGCACGUUGGUGGCGUCGGUUUGACAGGUGGUUUGUAUGUAUAAACAAUCUAUGAAAAUCAGUAGUGUUUGUUGUAUCGAGUGGGCGGUAAGCUAUCAGUGCAACUUUCAAAGAUGAGCAAAUUCUUCACAAAAGCUGGGUGAUUGAGAUGUUCUACAGUAUUAGUCCCAGAUAUGUCAUAAUUCUUAAACAAGUAAUUGUCACUUGUUGCUGAAUAUACCAGACGGGGGAGCUAUUGUAACAUUGUACCACCUAUGGAUGCCCUGUCUACAAGGUUAAAAAGUUGCCUGUGAGCGUCUGUGUACGGAUUUCGUUCUGUUCUUGAGAAAAAGAAGUUGGUUACCCAAGACGGAAUGGCACCCAGGUACUUGGAGAUUGCACGGUCUGCCUGAAGGAGGGCACUGACAGUGGUCUGCAGUGGGUCCAGGACGGGCCACAUUUGCUUCCCACCUGGCGUACCGGGGUCUGGGCGACGCGUGCGCUGCAGGAGGCACAGCAGCGCCAGAGUCGGCGGCGGGUGUUGACGUCCGGCAAGCACCACUAGCGGGAAGUUGUGGCACGGCGUCCAGGAGGGCGCGGGUUCGAGUCUGGUCCUGUCCUGGGAGCAGCGGCGGCCCGAGGGCCACAGGUAAACAGUACAUCCACUUUCGUCCCAUGGUCGGACAAAGCAGGCCAAACAGGGCAGAGGGCGGUGAGGACCAGGGACUUCUAACAGUCUCAGGAAUCGCGAGGAGCUUCGUGGCGCAAGACGCGACGCAUCGAUAAGUGGCGACCGAGCGGGCGCGGCUGACUACCAGCUGAGCAGCCUUGGUGACGGAGCAGUGGUGUCAGCGUACCAGGAGUUGCUGAGUUGGCUGGACUCGCGGAACAGCGCUGCAGGCAGACACCAACACUGCGCUGCAUCCAUCGUAGUACUGUAACUUAUGUGAAUAAAGAAAUGCUUCCAAA